AUGGAAGACCGCGACAGCCAGGCCUUCCGCGGAAAUCGACGGGAGGGAUUCAGAUCUGGGCGGAUGGGACGCGGCGCCGGUCGUUUCGAUCGGGGACGCGACCUGGGCCGCUUCUCGUGGUCUAGAGAUGUCGAUAGCGACGACCUCUCCACCAACAAGAAGGCGGCGUCUGCAUCGGACGACACCGAGCGGUCGGAUCUGGUGGAGAAGAACCCUAAUCCCCCUGGUUUCGAUGCGGCGGACUCCCACAAGAAGAAGCAGAUCUACAACAACAUCCCACGCGCUGAAUCUUCAAAUCAGGUGCUUUCGUCCAAAGCUUAUGAUCCAUGUUUGAUCUGCAAAUCCACUAGCCAUACUCAUGCUAGUUGUCCGCAAGCUUUCUGUGAGAGAUGUAGUAAGAUGGGGCAUCUGGCAUCGGUAUGUACUACUUUUCUUCCCUGGGAAUGUGUAGCACCGAUGUGCGCAUUUCAGGCCAAGGGCCAGGGUUUCUUUUACAUCCCAGACUCAUGUACUGCUAAGCAGCUUAAGGAGAGAGCCACCAGUGUAGUGAUUACUGUGGUGGAGGGAGAGGCUAGUGUAAAAGAGUUAGAAGAUGCUUUUUCUGACUAUAUUGGGACUAAAUGGCACUGUACUGCUCGCCCAAUAGGCCCCAAUACUUAUGUAAUGCAUUUCCCUAUUCAAAGAGAUGUUAAAAAAGCAUGCUACAAUGAUGAGAUGACCUUGAGGUCGUGUGGAGUGGUGAAAAUUAUCCCAUGGUCUGCUAAUGUUGGUGGCAAAAGGAGUGAUGGAAGUUGCUUGGGUUAA
rnacentral:rRNA from 1 species